rnacentral:rRNA from 1 species
CCUACGGGUGGCUGCAGUGGGGAAUAUUGUACAAUGGGGGCAACCCUGAUCCAGCCAUGCCGCGUGUGUGAAGAAGGCCCUCGGGUUGUAAAGCACUUUCAGUGAGGAAGAACGCCUGGUGGUUAAUACCCAUCAGGAAAGACAUCACUCACAGAAGAAGCACCGGCUAACUCCGUGCCAGCAGCCGCGGUAAUACGGAGGGUGCGAGCGUUAAUCGGAAUUACUGGGCGUAAAGCGCGCGUAGGUGGCUUGAUAAGCCGGUUGUGAAAGCCCCGGGCUCAACCUGGGAACGGCAUCCGGAACUGUCAAGCUAGAGUGCAGGAGAGGAAGGUAGAAUUCCCGGUGUAGCGGUGAAAUGCGUAGAGAUCGGGAGGAAUACCAGUGGCGAAGGCGGCCUUCUGGACUGACACUGACACUGAGGUGCGAAAGCGUGGGUAGCAAACAGGAUUAGAUACCCCGGUAGUC